UACGGGGGGGGCAAGCGUUGUUCGGAAUUACUGGGCGUAAAGGGUUCGUAGGUGGUCUGCUAAGUCAUACGUGAAAUCCCUCAGCUUAACUGGGGAACUGCGUCUGAUACUGGCGGACUUAGGACAGGAGAGGAACGCGGAAUUCCAGGUGUAGCGGUGAAAUGCGUAGAUAUCUGGAGGAACACCGGUGGCGAAGGCGGCGUUCUGGACUGUUUCUGACACUGAGGAACGAAAGCCAGGGGAGCAAACGGG
rnacentral:rRNA from 1 species